rnacentral:rRNA from 1 species
AUUGAACGCUGGCGGCAGGCCUAACACAUGCAAGUCGAACGAGUGGCGGACGGGUGAGUAAUGUCUGGGAAACUGCCUGAUGGAGGGGGAUAACUACUGGAAACGGUAUCUAAUACCGCAUACCAUCGGAUGUGCCCAGUUGGGAUUAGCUAGUAGGUGGGGUAAAGGCUCACCUGGGCGACGACCCCUAGCUGGUCUGAGAGGAUGACCAGCCCAACGGGAACUGGGACACGGUCCUGCCUCCUACGGAAGGCAGCAGUGGGGAAUAUUGCACAUUGGGCGCAAUCCUGAUGCAGCCAGGCCGCGUGUAGGAAGAAGGCCUUCGGGUUGUAAAGUACGUUCAGCGGGGAGGCGUUACCCGCAGAAGAAGCACCGGCUAACUCCGUGCCAGCAGCCGCGGUAAUUC